UCAAAUUUCAAUGAUUUUUUUUUUUUUUAUACUCUCCACUUUCUUUUUACUCAUUUUAUCCUUGUGCGUGAUCUUCCAUGUUUACAACACGCUCUUCUCGAACGUCACGAUGAUGUUUCUUUUCUAAAGUGAAUCCAAUGUGUAUGUUUUUACUUUUUUAAUUUGCAACACGAAGAAAAUCGAAUUUACUGGAGCGAAUAAAAUGGUCCACCGAAUUGUGAAGAGGAACAAGAACGAAAGAGAGAGAGAGAGAGAGGGAGAGAGAGAAUGAAAAUGGGGGAGCAAGAAGGGAGAAGAAGAUGGACAGAAAGAAGCCAAGAAACGAAAAGCAACGGACGAACGAGAGAUGAACAGAUACAGGAUGAAAAGAGAAGGACGAAGAAAGAUACCGGCUGGCAAGCAGAUGGUAGCCUCGUUUAUUGGUUUACUCGUCGGCUCGCUGCCCCUACGGCCAUGAAACGAGACUUUAGAACGAAUGUCGUUUCUCUUUGUAGCAGAGAGAACGACCCGACGACCUUCGAUUCAAUGGAAAUCAAUAAAACAGGUAUGACAAGAAUGUAUUCGGUAACUGGAUGAAGCAAGAAACCUUCAAUGUAGAGUGCAUCUUCUUACCAUCAAUGCAUUCAUUGGGCGUUCAUUCAAGAAGGGACGAAGAAGAGACGAGGAGAAGGAGGAUGAUAGUGGUGGAAUAUAGUAGCUGACAUUAACUGAGGGUAUAUGUGUAUAUCUAUGUGCAAGAGAAAGAGGGAGAUAGAAGUAUACGCACAGAUAUAUAGACGCAGCCAUCAAAUAAUGGCGUCGUGGGGGCGGAUAGCAGUUGCCGGGUCGAUAGGAGGAAGGCCCUUGACCUGCAAAACUCCGACUGCCUUCCCACCAUCGGCGUUGCUUUAACGACAACCCUCGCUCAUUGGCUCUUGUAGACUUCUCCCUAGGGAAAGAAUCGUGAUUCACCUGGUUUUUUGGUGAACGAACGGAAGACAAGAUAUGACCAAGUGACCUGGAAGUGCAAGGUGCGUUACAGCACGGUAUAUAAAACGAGCCGUUGAGAAGAAAGAGAAAAGAAAAGAACAUGAUGGAGAAGCCGACCUUGCUAAGAUCAGCUGUGUCAUCCUUGGGCCGUUAACGCUCAGGUGGUUUCGAUCUCAGGGCCGAGCAUCAAUCAUCAUUGGUAGUGCAAGGCGUGAUGUGAUUAUUGUCACUAAGAUACUCUACUACGAUAUAACAAUCACGAAAGUGUGCCACGUGACAUAACAGAGUUUAUCUUUAACGGUGAAUCUUAAGCAUCUAAUAAAACAGACCUAAUAUUCUAGCCUGCUAUUAUGUUUUAUUCAUUGUGGUUGGUCAGUACACGUGCAGUCUGUGCUGUUUAGAAAAAGUAAAUAAAUGCAUUUAUUAAGUUGACUGAAGAAAAGCAUAAAAUGGGUUAAUUUUCAUGUAUCUUGAUACGAAAUUUCCUGGAAUUUUAAUAUAUAGAAUAAUCACAA